GCAGUACAGGCUGGUGCUUUGAUGUAAUUUUUCUAACUGACAACAGUUUAAGCAACUCUUGGAUGUCAAAAAUAUAAGGGAAAGGCUAGGCGGAAAAAGGGAAACUUGAUCAAGGAUUUGAGAAGAUUGGUAAAGCAAGGGCUUUCAUUUAUGAACAAGAGCUGCUUUUAAAUUUGGUCAAUUGGGAAAAGGCAGGAAGUUGAAGAGAUGAACUUUAGCUUUUGGCUAUUGGAACUUUAUUAGCUUUCAAAUGCUUGCUUCUCAAAUGCAGUAGGUAACUAGGUAGGUAGGUCUGAACUCUGUAGUUAUUCAUCAUAUAUUCUGGACUUUGUUGGAGCCUGUGAGACUCGGAAACAUAGAGCCUGGGAAACAUAGCCAUUUUUUUUAUUUCAGAUGUUUGGUUGUUGGCAAAGUAUUUUUUGUGCAUCGCUGUCAUGAACUAUAUGGUGGAGUGGGCUUUCUUUUGUUGAUCAAGAAGCUUGCCAGCAAUAGUUGUUGGUGCUGUUUUAAAUGUAUUUUCUGGAACAAAGAAAAAAUUCUUAAUUGAUGCUGUAAAUGUAUUUCCUGGAAUUUAGAAAAGUUCUUGAUUUAACGCUUAUGACAUCCCUUGCACUUAAAGAAGAAUUAAAUUUGCAAUUACUAUCAAA